rnacentral:rRNA from 1 species
CCUACGGGAGGCAGCAGUGAGGAAUAUUGGUCAAUGGGCGUGCGCCUGAACCAGCCAAGUCGCGUGAAGGAAGACUGCCCUACGGGUUGUAAACCUCUUUUGUAAAGGAGUAAAUUGAGGCACGUGUGCCUUUUUGUAUGGACUUUAUCGAAAAAGAACGGCUAACUUCGUUCCAGCAGCCCCGGUAAUACGGAGGUUCCGAGCGUUAUCCGGAUUUAUUGGGGUUAAGGGGAGCGUAGAUGGGUUGUUCAUUUAGUUGGGAAAUUGUGCGGCUCAACCGUAGAAUUGCAAUUGAUACUGGCAGUCUUGAGUACAGGUGAGGUAGGCGGAAGUCGUGGUGUAGCGGUGAAAUGCUUAGAUAUCACGAAGAACUCCGAUUGCGAAGGCAGCUUACUAACCUGCAACUGACACUGAUGCUCGAAAGUGUGGGUAUCAAACAGGAUUAGAUACCCGGGUAGUC